CCCUUAGAUGUUCUGGGCCGCACGCGCGCUACACUGACGAUGGCAACGAGUUUUUCCUUCGCCGAAAGGUGUGGGUAAUCUUUUGAAACAUCGUCGUGCUGGGGGUAGAUCAUUGCAAUUUCUGAUCUUGAACGAGGAAUUCCUAGUAAGCGCGAGUCAUCAGCUCGCGUUGAUUACGUCCCUGCCCUUUGUACACACCGCCCGUCGCUACUACCGAUUGAAUGGUUUAGUGAGGACUCCUGAUUGGCGCCGCCGCCCCGGCAACGGAGCAGCGGACUGCCGAAAAGUUGUUCAAACUUGAUCAUUUAGAGGAAGUAAAAGUCGUAACA
rnacentral:rRNA from 1 species